rnacentral:rRNA from 1 species
AUGAUGAUGUGUAUGGAUACGAGGGCCAUAAUAACAACCAAUUCGUCAGACUUUGUCAAGGCGGCAGGGAUCAAAGAAUAUCAGUUAUGCGUCUUUGCCUUCAAGAUUAAAAGGGGGAAACCAUUGACAUUAUCUGUACGUUUUAAAAGGUUAUGGUACAAAAUCACAAGUGCAUUGUCUAUGCAAAAACCAUUUUGUUGUCACCUAUCUCACGAACUAUUCGCAUUAGGUUCAUAUGGAAUGGUACCCAUGGAGUUAAUCGACAAGGUAGUUGAACCAAGCUAUAUAUUAGUAUGCCUAACUAUGACUUUGUAG